rnacentral:tRNA from 1 species
GCUUGUGUAGCUCAGAUGGUAGAGCAGCUGAUUUGUAAUCAGCAGGUCGGGGGUUCGAUUCCGUCCACAAGCUCCA